AUUGAACGCUGGCGGCAUGCCUUACACAUGCAAGUCGAACGGCAGCACGGGUGCUUGCACCUGGUGGCGAGUGGCGAACGGGUGAGUAAUACAUCGAAACGUACCUUAUCGUGGGGGAUAACGCAGCGAAAGCUGUGCUAAUACCGCAUACGCCCUGAGGGGGAAAGCGGGGGAUCGCAAGACUUCGCGCGAUUAGAGCGGCCGAUGCCUGAUUAGCUUGUUGGUGGGGUAAAAGCCCACCAAGGCGACGAUCAGUAGCUGGUCUGAGAGGACGAUCAGCCACACUGGGACUGAGACACGGCCCAGACUCCUACGGGAGGCAGCAGUGGGGAAUUUUGGACAAUGGGGGCAACCCUGAUCCAGCAAUGCCGCGUGAGUGAAGAAGGCCUUCGGGUUGUAAAGCCCUUUUGUCAGGGAAGAAACACCGGCUCUAACACAGUCCGGGAAUGACGGUACCUGAAGAAUAAGCACCGGCUAACUACGUGCCAGCAGCCGCCGUAA
rnacentral:rRNA from 1 species